rnacentral:rRNA from 1 species
GACGAACGCUGGCGGCGUGCUUAACACAUGCAAGUCGAACGGAAAGGCCCUGCUUUUGUGGGGUGCUCGAGUGGCGAACGGGUGAGUAACUCGUGAGUAACCUGCCCUUGACUUUGGGAUAACUUCAGGAAACUGGGGCUAAUACCGGAUAGGAGCUCCUGCUGCAUGGUGGGGGUUGGAAAGUUUCGGCGGUUGGGGAUGGACUCGCGGCUUAUCAGCUUGUUGGUGGGGUAGUGGCUUACCAAGGCUUUGACGGGUAGCCGGCCUGAGAGGGUGACCGGCCACAUUGGGACUGAGAUACGGCCCAGACUCCUACGGGAGGCAGCAGUGGGGAAUAUUGCACAAUGGGCGGAAGCCUGAUGCAGCAACGCCGCGUGCGGGAUGACGGCCUUCGGGUUGUAAACCGCUUUCGCCUGUGACGAAGAGUGAGUGACGGUAAUGGGUAAAGAAGCACCGGCUAACUACGUG